CAGGCAGAGCCUUGGAGGGGCCUUGAUGAAGAAGCAGGAGCAUCACUGCUGUGAAGAGCUGUGCGUGAGAAAAUCUCUCAGAAGGUACAAUCAAGUAAUGACUUAAUAUAUUGUUUGUGAGAUGGAUUACUUACAAAUAUUGAUGGCACCAACACCUUCUGCAGACAGCCUGGAAGAAAGAGAGGAUGGAAAAGUCAUGGUUCCUUUUAAGGAUAAUUUUAAGCAAUAUUUUUGCACCAAGAACCUUGGAAAACAGACUCAGUGGGGGCUGGAUCUGAUGGGGAGUAUCGAAGAGGAUUUGGAAUGACACCUGUUACUGUGUAGGAUGGGGGUGAAUUUCCUCUGCAAAAUUUUGUGAGACCUUUCACCUCUUUGCAGGGCAAAGGUGAGAACAUUUCUGGAUUUGGAUGGGAUUUGGUUUGCAGGGGGAGUUCCCACCUGCUCUCCUCACUCUUCCUGUUAGUCCCAAUUCUCAAUGUCCAGGUCCAGCUUGAUGUUCAUGAGCUCCUGGUAUUCCUGGAGCUGCUGGGCCAGGUCAGCCUUGGCUUUCUGCAGAGUGGCCUCCAGUUUCUCCAGCGUGGCCCUGGCAUCCUUGAGAGCGAUGUCCCCGUGCUGCUCUGCCUCAGCAAUGGCCAUCUGCAGCCCAGCUACCUGCGGGCAGCAAGUCCAGCGACCUUGUGAUGGGUCUGGAUCCUGAUUUCCAGGCCCCUUCCAGUCAGGGGUGGAGAUGGGAGUGCCCCAUGUUUGUGGAGAUCCUGUGCCUGCACCUUCACGCUGUCCGUGUCUGAGUGGAGCUGCUGGAGCAGGUGGUUCAUCUCUGAGAUCCCCGUGCCAGCUGGCCGAGAGCUGCAGCUCCUUGUGCUGGGUGGGCAGGGAGGUGACACGGGGCACAGGCAGAGACUGACCCUGCUCUGAUCCUCUCUUCACCAGCACUUGCCACACUCAGCCCCUUGAGCUUCCUCCUUCUGUGUCCUUCUGCUCCUCCAUCUUUCAUUAUCAAAGCAGCAUUUUCCCAGAGAGUCAUGAAGAAUCAUGGAAGGCUGGAAAAGACCUUUAAGUCAUCAAGUCCAACUGCCAAACAUCUCCAAGGAACUAUCUGAACUCCUCUCCAAAUCCACUUUAUUUUACACCUUUCUGCCCUGUCCUCGCUGCUUGUUCUCUCCAGUAUAACUCAGCCUUUGGGAAAUGCUGAACAAAAAUCUCCCUGUUUGUUUGCACCUCCUCACCCUGCUCUGGUACCAGGAUCAGCCUCAGCAUGGCUCAUGUCCUCAUCCUGUGCCUUGGCCUCACUGAUGAUGCUGUCCAGGGCCAGGUUCUGGCUGUUGCCCAUGGAUGGCACCACCGAGGGUUCAGAGAUCUGGGUCUGCAUCUGGGACAGCUGCCGGAAGUCAAACAAAUUCAUUUUCUGUCCCAAAUGUUUCACUGUUUAUUUGUCCUGAGCUGAGAUGUAGAAGAGAGUUGGGGAGGAGCUGCAGCAGGGAUGUGAGAGAUGCUACUCACUUCCAAAACCUUAGUAAGAUUUAUUAAACCUUAUAAAAAAUACAACGGAAGACUGAAUAGAGAAAACAUUACAGCGCUGGGAGCAGCAGAGGAUCCCACCAUAUGCUCACCCCCACGAUGGAGGCUUCACCUUUUAACCCUUUAGCCCCUCCCAAAGUUCUGUCCCUUGACUCCUUUGCUAUCCAGUGGUGGAUUUCACUUCCUUAAAUCUUGAUUGGAGGUCAUGUGUUGCCAUGGUAAUGAGCCAACCCUCCCAAAUGUCCCAAACCCAGGCUAUCCCCUGAUAACAAUGCAAGGGGGGUAAAACAUAACCAUAAAUCCAUAAAACUUUUCUUAACACAUAUACAUUUUAUUCACCUUUUAAUUGUGAGAGUCAACCAUUGCAUUACUCAUCUACCACACUGACCAGCUCUUUGAGCCUCUGGAGACUGGGAAAUUUGGGAUACUCUUACUCAUUCAUAGAGGGCUUGCAGGAAGUUUAUCUCAUCUUCACAACAUCAACCUUGGUCCCCUGAUCCACCUUGUUCACAUAGGCAGCAUCCACAUCGUGGAACGGUGACAAAGGAGCUUGGACCAGACCUUUUCUGGGUCACUGGGUGAAGUCUUUGUAUCUAACACAAACCUUUGAUUAAAUUUAAUUAAUUUAAUUAAACUAAAUUAAGAAUAAAUUAAGAACUGAAAUUUCAUAUUAAACCAGAAAUGGAGGAUUUCUUGAUCUCUGCGCCUGUAAGUAGUGCCAAAAGUUAAGUAAUUUCUCACCUCCACCUUUUUUUGGGAGGGGAGGAGGGAGGAUGUCCAUGGAUCCAAACAAUGCCACACCACUGAAUUUCCCUUUUCCUGCCAGACAGAUAUUUUGUACAAUACCUGAAACAGCAGAAGCUUCUUACUGUGUCUCCUGCGGGUGAGACCAGGGGGCUGUGGAUGCUGGGAUUGGACACAGAAAAGCUGAGGACUGGCAGAGCAUCUGGUGAAGGGACAAGAUCCCUCAUGACCAUGGAAGCAGACACAAAUACUGGAUGGAUGUUUUCCUGAAGUGCAAAGAGUGGAGGAGAGAGGGAACUCCUGCUCCCAAGAGCCUAAAGAAUUGCUGAGCCAAGGAUCCUUGCUUUCCAUGAGAUGGGAGGAAGAAGAGAGUGAAGUAAAACUGGACAGAUCUUGCUGUGGGUGUUGCCUACCUGACCUUGAAGUGCUCCUCCACAUCCUGCAUGGCCUUGUGCAUGGAGCUGAGCUGCAGCCUCUCCUUUCCCAGAGCCUCCAGCUGCUGCCUCAAACUGCUGAUGUACAACUCAAACAUGGACUCCAGAUUAUUCUACACAAUUUUCUGGCCUUUUAAGAGGCUCCACUUGGUCUCCAGAACUUUGGUCUGUUGCUCCAGGAACCGCACCUGAAAGCCAUCAGAACAAUAUAAAUCAGGAUCCUUAACUCAAACUUGCCUUGCUUUUCAUGAAAUGGAAAUUUAAUAUGGUGGGGGUUAUAAUGUUUUCUGUAAUUUGAAGCAUGAUUAGAUGGGCUUGUUACCAAAAGAUCAUUGGUGAGAAGAUCUGGGAGCCGGGAGAAAUACUCAGCUACAUAGAAACCUGGAGAAAUAAUUUCCUCCAUGCUCGGAUUGUCAAAAAGAUGUAUAUGGACAGUCUGCAUAUGGAACAAAGUCCUGCACAAAAUCCUUAACUCUGCUUUAAUGAUUUAGAAUUAAAUUUCUAAUGUUGAGAACUUCCUGACUCCAUCGCCAGGUAAUGCCAGAGCUGGAGGAGGACAACGUGCCUCACCUUGUUGAUGAAGGAGGCAGAUUAGCUGUUGAAGGAUUUAAUUUGGUCCUUGUCCUCCUGCUGCACAUUGGGGUCAAUCUUGGUUCAGGGGCACCAAGAGGCAGUGGUUGACCACUGCAGCCACAUUUCUCUUCACAGAGAAAAGCAAGGCACAAUUCUUCCCAAGAAUACUUCUGGGUUUCACAUUCUCUGAACCGCAGAGAAAGGAAAAAUAAUUCUUAUCAUUUGCUGUGCCUGUAUUUGUGCAAAAGUAGAAUGCAGUAUGGAAGUUGUUUACCCAAAGUGAUGGUGUUUUGUUUCCUUGGCCGCUCAGGGCCAAGUGUGUGUGUGUGUCAGGACUGUUGGAUGACAGUCAUGAAAUUCAGUGCAGUGUGUGCAGUUGGGUGCAGAGUUAAGUGCUUGGCAGAUUCAGUUUUAGAUGUAUAGAAUAAUAUAGUAUAAUAAAGUAAUUAAUUAGCCUUCUGAUAAGAUGAAGUCCUCCUCAUCAUUCCUCCUUUGUCGGGGUUCCCAACGCAGCUAUAGACCAUGACCUUCUGGAUCCCUCCAGGACCACAUCCAAGCCCAUAUUUUCUAAGCUGUUUUUCAAAGAGGAGAUUACUGGUGGGGCAAAAAACAAAAUCCAUUUCCAUCCACAAGUUGCCUUUGGGCUUGGUUUUAGCUUGGUUAAAAUGGUUCCUGUUUAGUUUGAAGCUGA